rnacentral:rRNA from 1 species
AACGAACGCUGGCGGCGUGGAUAAGACAUGCAAGUCGAACGGGAUUAUUUUUGUAGCAAUACAGAAAUAAUUCAGUGGCGAACGGGUGCGUAACACGUGGGCAAUCUGCCGAAAAGUGGGGGAUAGCUCGCCGAAAGGCGAAUUAAUACCGCAUGUGGUGAGGGACGACAUCUUCCUGAAUCCAAAGCCGGGGCAACCUGGCGCUUUUUGAGGAGCCCGCGGCCUAUCAGCUAGUUGGCGGGGUAACGGCCCACCAAGGCUAUGACGGUAGCUGGUCUGAGAGGACGACCAGUCACACUGGAACUGAGACACGGUCCAGACACCUACGGGUGGCAGCAGUGGGGAAUCUUGCGCAAUGGGCGAAAGCCUGACGCAGCGACGCCGCGUGAGGGAUGACGGCU